GCCCAGUGGGCUUGAAAGGUAGCGCGUGUGCCUUGUAAGCGCUAGGUCGUGGGUUUGAUUCCCACCUAGGGCG
rfam:Asian citrus Psyllid, Diaphorina citri - Florida Strain, whole genome shotgun sequence.